UGGCUCAGAACGAACGCUGGCGGCAGGCCUAACACAUGCAAGUCGAGCGCCGUAGCAAUACGGAGCGGCAGACGGGAGAGUAACACGUGGGAACGUGCCCUUCAGUUCGGAACAACCCAGGGAAACUUGGGCUAAUACCGGAUACGUCCGUAAGGAGAAAGAUUUAUCGCUGAAGGAUCGGCCCGCGUCUGAUUAGCUAGUUGGUGAGGUAACGGCUCACCAAGGCGACGAUCAGUAGCUGGUCUGAGAGGAUGAUCAGCCUCACUGGGACUGAGACACGGCCCAGAGAUCCUACGGGAGGCAGCAGUGGG
rnacentral:rRNA from 2 species